rnacentral:miRNA from 1 species
CCGGCUGGGAGCUACGAUUU